GGAGGGAUCAUUAACACGUGCCAAAACACGUUUUACACCAAUCGCUCUGUGAACACAAACCCAACUCCCUUCACAUAUGGACGAUCGAACAACCAUCAGGGUGGAGAGCAAGUGCAUGCGGACAAUCGAUUCUUCGGAAUCGACUCGGUAUGUCUUGCGACUAUGGCUCGGUCUAGGGCUCCUUGAGAGUCCAAUCCUGUGUGAAGUGUUGCGCGACCACCUGGCAGUGUGCCGUUUUCAUGUCCUGCAUUCGUGCGGGCUGUGUUAAUGUGCAAGCGUUCUGCCGAAUUUAUUUAACCCCAUUUUUUAACCCCUUUAACAACAUACUAAUAACUGAACCAUGUUCAUGCAGUUUGCCUGUGUUGACUUCGGUCAUCGCAUGUUGGCUCAUGAUACGAUAUACGUAAUGCUGAACAACUCUUAGCAAUGGAUAUCUUGGUUCUCGUAACGAUGAAGAACGCAGCGAAAUGCGAUACGUAAUGCGAAUUGCAGAAUUCAGUGAAUCAUCAAAUCUUUGAACGCAAAUGGCGCUUCUGGGAUAGGCCUAGGAGCAUGCCUCUCUGAGUAUCGGUUCUAUCUAUCAACGACAGCGUGCUUGGAAACAGGCCACGACUGCGCAGUUGGAAAAUGAGCGUCUGAUUGCGCAAGCAAAUCAGUCACUUUAAACAGAUAGAAGCUUGAAUCGCACUAGAGGAAUGUUUCUGCUCGCCGUCAAAAAGCGAGUGGAAGACGAGUUGUUAUGGCUCCAUUCUAUAUGCUAGUGACGUGGAUAGAAGUACCCUUAUGUGGUCUUUCAAAACGUCUGCUAGUUGAAUGUUUGCUGUUUCAUGUUCGUGUAAGCUCUGGUUAAGUUGGUUCAGUAAAGUUUCUGACUCGAAUUCCCCUUGUCUCCGGACUUGGGUUGUUUGAAUUAGAUCUCAGAUGAAGCAAGAGGACCCCCUGAAUUUAAGCAUAUUAUUAAGGGGAGGAAAAGAAACUAACAAGGAUUCCCCUAGUAACGGCGAGUGAAGCGGGAUCAAGCUCAAUCUGGGAAUCGAGAGUGGAAGCCCACGCCUCGAGUUGUAUCCUAGAGACGUAUUGUCAGCGUGUGACCUCGGUACAAAUCUUUUGAAACAAGGUAUCAUAGAGGGUGAGAAUCCCGUCCAUGACCGAGAGUUCGCCGCGUACGACGUAUGUUUUCCGAGUCGAGUUGUUUGGGAUUGCAGCUCUAAACGGGUGGUAAAUUUCAUCUAAAGCUAAAUAUCGACGAGAGACCGAUAGCGAACAAGUACCGUGAGGGAAAGAUGAAAAGAACUUUGAAAAGAGAGUUAAAAAGUACUUGAAAUUGUUAAGAGGGAAGCGCUAGCAAGCAGUCAUGACAUCAGGCUAUGCUUAGUAGUGGACACCGAAAUCAACUGCGGACCAGAUCGAAAGACUGUGUCGGGAAGAGGACGAGUGGCUGCUGCGUCAUGUAGUCUGGUGUGGGUCAGAGUCAAUUCGGCUCGCGGUUGAAGGCCAGCGGAAAGGUAGGGUCUCCGGACCUGUUAUAGUCCGUUGGUUGUACCGUGGUCUGGAUUGAGGAUUGAUAAUGGACGCCGUAAGGUUUCGGCGCUGCUUUCCUGUUGGGUCGGUUGGCUUAGAGGACAACGUCCUGUGGGCUGGCUUGGCUUGGCACUGGGGGUAGCUGCCAGAUGUCCAUUCGCGAUUCUGACGAAAUGCUUGCUAUCGACCCGUCUUGAAACACGGACCAAGGAGUCUAACAUAUAUGCGAGUAUUUGGGUGCAAAACUCUGAUGCGCAAUGAAAGUAAAGGCAGUUUCGGCUGCUGAGGUAGGAAGGGGUCACUCCCGGCACUAUCGACCGAUCGUCACUUGUGAUUGAUUUGAGUGUGAGCAUAUCUGUUGGGACCCGAAAGAUGGUGAUCUAUGCCUGAACAGGGUGAAGCCAGGGGAAACUCUGGUGGAGGCUCGUAGCGAUACUGACGUGCAAAUCGUUCGUCUGAUUUGGGUAUAGGGGCGAAAGACUAAUCGAACCAUCUAGUAGCUGGUUCCCUC
rnacentral:misc_RNA from 1 species